AGUCGUACGAGAGUUUUUACUCAAGUGGCGGACGGGUGAGUAACACGUAAGAAUUUGCCUUUAGGAGGGGGACAACAACUGGAAACGGUUGCUAAUACCCCAUAUGCUUUCGAGUGAAACGGUUUUUCCGCCUAAAGAGAAGCUUGCGGCUGAUUAGCUUGUUGGUAAGGUAAUGGCUUACCAAGGCGACGAUCAGUAUCUGGUUUGAGAGGACGAUCAGACACACUGGAACUGAGACACGGUCCAGACUCCUACGGGAGGCAGCAGUGGGGAAUUUUCCGCAAUGGGCGAAAGCCUGACGGAGCAAUACCGCGUGAGGGAUGAAUGCCUAUGGGUUGUAAACCUCUUUUUUUCAGGGAGGAAUCAAUGACGUUACCUGAAGAAUAAGCAUCGGCUAACUCCGUGCCAGCAGCCGCGGUAAUACG
rnacentral:rRNA from 1 species